AAAUUGAAGAGUUUGAUCAUGGCUCAGAUUGAACGCUGGCGGCAGGCCUAACACAUGCAAGUCGAACGGUAACAGGAAGCAGCUUGCUGCUUCGCUGACGAGUGGCGGACGGGUGAGUAAUGUCUGGGGAACUGCCUGAUGGAGGGGGAUAACUACUGGAAACGGUGGCUAAUACCGCAUAACGUCGCAAGACCAAAGAGGGGGACCUUCGGGCCUCUUGCCAUCAGAUGUGCCCAGAU
rnacentral:rRNA from 1 species